GUAGGUGGCAAGCGUUGUCCGGAAUUAUUGGGCGUAAAGCGCGCGCAGGCGGUUCUUUAAGUCUGAUGUGAAAGCCCACGGCUCAACCGUGGAGGGUCAUUGGAAACUGGAGAACUUGAGUACAGAAGAGGAAAGCGGAAUUCCACGUGUAGCGGUGAAAUGCGUAGAGAUGUGGAGGAACACCAGUGGCGAAGGCGGCUUUCUGGUCUGUAACCGACGCUGAGGCGCGAAAGCGUGGGGAGCAAACAGGGAUUAGAUACCCUGGUAGUCCACGCCGUAAACGAUGAGUGCUAAGUGUUAGGGGGUUUCCCGCCCCCUUAGUGCUGCAGCUAACGCAUUAAGCACUCCGCCUGGGGAGUACGGCCGCAAGGCUG
rnacentral:rRNA from 1 species